rnacentral:misc_RNA from 1 species
GUGAGUCAUCGAAUCUUUGAACGCACAUUGCGCCCAUUGGUAUUCCAAUAGGCAUGCCUGUUCGAGCGUCAUUUCAAUCUCAAGCUUUGCUUGGUGUUGGGUGUUGUCUUGGUUAAUUUCCGCAGACUCACCUUGAAUGUAUUGGCAGCCAGCAGUUAGGUGUUGGAGCGCAGCACAUUUUGCGUUUUCCACCAUAACGGUUGGUGUCCAUGAAGUCUACAUAUCAAUGUUUGACCUCGGAUCAGGUAGGGAUACCCGCUGAACUUAAGCAUAUCAAUAAGCGGAGGA